rnacentral:rRNA from 1 species
AUUGAACGCUAGCGGGAUGCUUUACACAUGCAAGUCGAACGAGUGGCGGACGGGUGAGUAAUAUAUAGGAAAGUGCCAAGUAACGGGGGAUAACUACUCGAAAGAGUGGCUAAUCCCGCAUACUAUUGGAGAGGCCGAUAGCGGAUUAGCUAGUUGGUGGGUGAAAGGCUCACAAAGGAAACGAUCCGAAGAUGGUUGGGGAGGACGACCAGCCACACUGGGACGGAGCCACGGCCCAGACUCCUACGUGAGGCAGCAGGGGGUAAUAUUGCACAAUGGGCGCAAGCCUGAUGCAGCCAUGCCGCGUGGAUGAGAAGGCCUUCGGGUUGUAAAGUACUUUUGGCAGAGAAGCGGUAUCUGCAGAAUAAGCACCGGCUAACUACGUGCCAGCCGCCGCGGUAAUUC